CUUCAGGUGGACUGAUUUAUUCGGAAGCAGUUCCCCUGGUAAUUUCGAAGCCAGUCUCAACCAACCGGCCCCGGACUCUCCCAACCCUGGUGAACCCGCAGCGCCUAUUGCUGAGGUUUAUCAUCCGUUACAGGAGGACGGACAGAGGCGUCGGGAGCUCAGUGAUCGUCUUAGCAUAAAUACUGUUAAGCGUCCCUUGCCCGAAGAUAUUUCUGAGGCAAUAAUUGAGACCCAAUUACAAACUGAGCUUAAGAUAGAGGAAGCCCUUCGUUCGGACAGGGUUCAUCUGUUAAGCGUCCUUUGCCUGAAGAUAUUUUUGAGGCAAUAAUUGAGACCCAAUUACAAAUUGAGCUUAAGAUAGAGGAAGCCCUUCGUUCGGACAGGGUUCAAGAAGGUUCCAUUUUAGAGAAAAGGCACCAGAUUAGGGGGGUGCUCUUCUAUCCUUUUGGUAGGGCAUUCUCAUUGGAUACGUACUUGGACCACCUUAAGCAAAUAGAGAACCAGGGGACCCACCGGAGCCUGCUUUAUAAAAGGCUUAUGGAUGAAAUUUCGAAGGAUAAAUUAGAACUGGCCGUUGAUGGAAUAAAAAAAAGGGGAGACUGGUAGCUCAUCUUUGUCAGCGACAUUCUCCCUUCUAUCUUGAAUUGAAUUAUGGAACUUUCUCCCCGAGCUGCGGAACUAACAAGUCUAUUAGAAAGUCGAAUUAGCAACUUUUACACCAAUUUUCAAGUGGAUGAGAUCGGUCGAGUUGUCUUAGUUGGAGAUGGGAUUGCACGUGUUUAUGGAUUGAACGAGAUUCAAGUUGGGGAAAUGGUUGAAUUUGCCAGCGGUGUGAAAGGAAUAGUCUUGAAUCUUGAGAAUGAGAAUGUAGGGAUUGUUGUCUUUGGUAGUGAUACUGCUAUUAAAGAAGGAUAUCUUGUCAACCGCACUGGAUCUAUUGUGGAUGUUCCUGCGGGAAAGGCUAUGCUAGGGCGUGUGGUCGAUGGCUUGGGAGUACCUAUUGAUGGUAGGGGGGCUCUAAGCGAUCACGAGCGAAGACAUGUCGAAGUGAAAUCCCCUGGUAUUAUUGAACAUAAAUCUGUGCACGAGCCUAUGCAAAUAGGGUUAAAAGCAGCAGAUAGCCUGGUUCCUAUAGGUCGUGGUCAACGAGAACUUAUAAUCGGGGACCGACAAACUGGAAAAACUGCUAUUGCUAUCGAUACCAUAUUAAACCAAAAGCAACUGAACUCAAGGGCCACCUCUGAGAGUGAGACAUUGUAUUGUGUUCGGGGACCGACAAACUGGAAAAACUGCUAUUGCUAUCGAUACCAUAUUAAACCAAAAGCAACUGAACUCAAGGGCCACUUCUGAGAGUGAGACAUUGUAUUGUGUCUAUGUAGCUAUUGGAUAGAAACGCUCAACUGUGACAUAGUUAGUUCAAAUUAUGUCAGAAGCGAAUGCUUUGUAAUAUUCUAUUCUUGUAGCAGCCACCGCUUUGGAUCCUGCUCCUCUACAAUUUUUGGCCCCAUAUUCUGGGUGUGCCAUGGGGGAAUAUUUCCGGCCAGCGCUUCAGAUCCUGCUCCUCUACAAUUUUUGGCCCCAUACUCUGGGUGUGCCAUGGGGGAAUAUUUCUGCGAUAAUGGAAUGCAUGCAUUGAUAAUCUAUGAUGAUCUUAGUAAACAGGCGGUAGCAUAUCGACAAAUGUCAUCUAAGUUGCUCUGACAGGGGUACGAGUGUCCGACACAGUGCAUAUCUAGAGGUCGAAUCCUUUGAGAUAGAAAUUUUAAGAUUCGGGGAUACGGAUCUAGAACCGACACGGGUGCGGGGAUCCGGCUAAAAAUCUUUAAUGUUAAUAUCUUUAAUAUUUAGAGAUUUAAACCAACUGAAAUAUUAUUUAUUGAUUAUAAUUGUAAAAUAUAUUCUGAAUGAGUAAAAUUUUCUUGGAGUUUGCAAAUACUUAUAAUGUAUUUUAUUUUAUAAUUUAAAUUCAUUCUUCAAUACUUAUCUUAUCUUUUAACCUAUUUACUCACUGGCGUGGAAAAAUCUAUAUAGACGUUGCUUUUUCAACGGUAGGUGAAAAAGUUGGUGAAACAUUGAGGCACAAUUUUGAAAAUUCUCAUAAAGCAGCUGGAUCAGAUGGACGAAAUGGGAGAAUGUCCAUAAUGAAAGCUGGAAAUGUUGGAAAAAAAGAAAAGAAAAAUGUUGGCCAGGAUCGUGCAAGUCAAAUAAAGGAUCCUACUUUCCUACUUUUGCUAUUGAUGUGGGAUCUACUAAGAAAAAAGAUGACAAAAGUGCGGGCCAUGUACAUGGGCCACUUCAUGUUAAAGCUCCUGUUGAUGACAAUUUGAAAAAAGAUGACCGUGUUUGUCAAUUUUCAAAAACAAAAAUAAUUGAUGGCAAAUUGGACCGUGUUUGUCAAUUUUCAACAACAAAAAUAAUUGAUGGCAAAUUGAAAAAAGAGGACAAUGCAGCGGGCCCUCUUGAUCUUUUGACUAAGCGUCAUGAUGCCAAUGUACAUCAAAAUGCACAUGGAAAAGUAAGUGGGCCAGUUUGUAGUAUUUCUCUUUUCUAUUUUUUGCCAAAAAAAACCAAUGUGGAAGCUAAGUUGCUCGGACACGGCACUUUUGGUGCCAUACCCGUAUCGACACGACACUGACACGGGUAAGGGUGUGGGAUCUGCGUCGGACCCGGUCAAAAUAGAUCGGGUGCGUUGACCAAAAAUUUGGAAAAAUUGAUUUUCUUAAGUAAAGAUUUGAAGAGAUGGGAAACGAAAUACCUUCAAUUUUGCUGCUAUGUAGUAAUUUAUACUAGUUCUUUGUCUCCUUUGAAGCUUUUUGUCUUCAAUCUUUGAGUUUCCAUGCUGCAAGUUUCUGAAAUCAAGAUCUGUGUUUUUUUUAGGGCAGAAAAGUUGUUGAUGGGUGGUGGACUACUGGACUGAGGGAUAUUGGGAAGGGCUCGAAUGGGUGUGUCGUACUGAAAAAAACCCGAGACAUGGAGAAGGUUUUGUUGAGGAAGAUGAUGAAGAACAGGGCGCAGAGAAGAAUGACGUCCAUGUGCAAUUUACUGUACAUUGGAUGCUUAGACAAAAGAUCAAGAGGGCCCGCUGCAUUGUCCUCUUUUUCCAAUUUGCCAUCAAUUAUUUGUUGUUGAAAUUGACAAACACGGUCAUUUUUUUUCAAAUUGUCAUCAUGACAAGAAAGCUUUAACAUGAAGUGGCCCAUGUACAUGGGCCACUUCAUGUUAAAGCUUUCUUGUCAUGAUGACAAUUUGAAAAAAAAUGACCGUGUUUGUCAAUUUCAACAACAAAUAAUUGAUGGCAAAUUGGAAAAAGAGGACAAUGCAGCGGGCCCUCUUGAUCUUUUGACUAAGCAUCAAAUGUACAGCAAAAUGCACAUGGAAGUCAUUCUUCUCUGCGCCCUGUUCUUCAUCUAUCUUCGUCAACAAAACCUUCUCCAUGUCUCUGUAUUUAAAUUAUAAAAUAAAAUACAUAUUAAGUAUUUGCAAACUCCAAUGAAAUUUUACUCAUUCAGAAUAUAUUUUUACAAUUAUAAUCAAUAAAUAAUAUUUUAGUUGGUUUAAAUCUCUAAAUAUCAAAGAAAUUAACAUUAAAGAUAUUAUAAUUAAAAGAAUAGACUACACUUUAAUAUAUUUUGUGUAACUUGUAGGAGAAUAUGAGAAUGAAAGAAAAUCAAGAAAUGGCGCCUACAACUUGAGAAUAAAAAGGAAAUCAUUACUUUACAAGAUAUUGGUAAGUAUUCCAUAAAAUGAUAAUUUAGAGAUAUUUUUAUUUUUAUAUUUAAAUUAUUUUUAGCCGGAACCCCGCACACGUGUCGGUUCUAGGAUCCGUCUCCCCGAAUCUUAAAAUUUCUAUCUCAAAUGAUCCGACCUCUAGAUCCGCACCCGUGUCGGACACCCGUACCCGUGUCAGAGCAACAAUAUAUUUUGUAUAACUUGUAGGAGAAUAUGAGAAUGGAAGAAAAUCAAGAAAUGGCGCCUACAACAACAACAACAACAACAACCCAGUAUAAUCCCACUUAGUGGGGUCUGGGGAGGGUANNNNNNNNNNNNNNNNNNNNNNNNNNNNNNNNNNNNNNNNNNNNNNNNNNNNNNNNNNNNNNNNNNNNNNNNNNNNNNNNNNNNNNNNNNNNNNNNNNNNNNNCCUACCCUUGGGUAGAGAGGCUGUUUCCAAAUAGACCCCCGACAUCCUUCCCUCCAAGAACUUCCCACCUUGCUCUUGGGGAGACUCGAACUCACAACCCAUCGGUUGGAAGUGGGGGUUACUUACCAUUAGAGCAACCCCUCUUGGAAAUGGCGCCUACAACUUGAGAAUAAAAAGGAAAUCAUUACUUUACAAGUUAUUGGUAAGUAUUUUCAUAAAAUCAUAAUUUAGAGAUAUUUUUAUUUUUAUUUUUAAAAUAUUUUUAGCCGGAUCCCGCACCCGUGUCGGUUCUAGGAUCCGUAUCCCCGAAUCUUAAAAUUUCUAUCUCAAAGGAUCCGACCUCUAGAUCCUCACCCGUGUCGGACACCCGUACCCGUGUCAGAGCAACUUAGCGUGGCAGCAAAAUAUUAGAAAUUAUAUCAAUUAACCUAAAUCCUAAUUAGAGUCUUAGUCGUCUUCUUCAGUCAUUCUUCUCUGCGCCUUGUUCUUCAUCAUCUUACUCAACAAAACCUUCUCCAUGUCUCUGGUUUUUUCCAGUACGACACACCCAUUCGAGCCCUUCCCAAUAUCCCUCAGUCCAGUAGUCCACCACCCAUCAACAACUUCUCUGCCCUAAAAAAACAACACAGAUCUUGAUUUCAGAAACUUGCAGCAUGGAAACUCAAAGAUUGAAGACAAAGCUUCAAAGGAGACAAAAGAACUAGUAUAAAUUACUACAUAGCAGCAAAAUUGAAGGUAUUUCGUUUCCCAUCUCUUCAAAUCUUUACUUAGGAAAAUCAAUUUUUCCAAAUUUUUGGUCAACGCCCCCGAUCUAUUUUGACCAGAUCUGACGCAGAUCUCACACCCUUACCCGUGUCAGUGUCGUGUCGACACGGGUACUACACCGAUAGUGCCCUGUCGGAGCAACUUAGAAUGUCAUUAUUGUUACGCCGACCACCAGGUCGUGAGGCUUUCCUACGGGAUGUUUUCUAUUUACAUUCCUGUCUUUUAGAAAGAGUGGCCAAACGAUCGGACCAGACAGGCGCAGGUAGCUUGACCGCCUUACCCGUCAUUGAAACACAAGCUGGAGACGUAUCGGCCUAUAUUCCCACCAAUGUGAUCCCCAUUACUGAUGGACAAAUCUGUCUCUUAGAAAGAGCGGCUAAACGAUCGGACCAGACAGGCGCAGGUAGCUUGACCGCCUUACCCGUCAUUGAAACACAAGCUGGAGACGUAUCGGCCUAUAUUCCCACCAAUGUGAUCCCCCAUUACUGAUGGACAAAAUCUAUUUGGAAACAGAGCUCUUUUAUCGCGGAAUUAGACCGGCAAUUAAUAUCAGCUUAUCUGUCAGUCGCGUCGGGUCUACCGCUCAGUUGAAAACUAUGAAACAAGUCUGCGGUAGUUCAAAACUAGAAUUGGCACAAUAUCGCGAAGUGGCCGCCCUUGCUCAAUUUGGCUCAGACCUUGAUGCUGCAUUACUGAAUAGAGGUGCAAGGUUGACAGAAGUACCGAACAACCACAAUAUGCACCACUGCCAAUUGAAAAACAAAUUCUAGUCAUUUAUGCAGCUGUCAAUGGAUUCUGUGAUCUAAUGCCACUAGACAGAAUUUCUCAAUAUGAGAGAGCCAUUCCAAAUAGUGUCAAACCAGAAUUACUACAAUCCUUUUUAGAAAAAGGUGACUUAACUAACGAAAGAAAGAUGGAACCAGAUACAUUCUUAAAGAAAGUGCUUUAGCUUUUAUUUAAUUCAAUACAAUGAAAGGAAAAAGGUCUCUUAGGGGUACCACAAAUAAUUGACUUACUAGUUCUUUUUCUAUCUAUGAAGUAGGACGAGUGUCCUACCUAAUUCAAUGCUAGGUAACCAAGUUAGUAUCCUAGCGGAGCUCUUGAAGGGGGGAACAUCCUAAUGGAUGAGUAUGAGCACGUUGUACAUCUCAUAUUA
rnacentral:lncRNA from 1 species